UACGUAGGUGGCAAGCGUUGUCCGGAUUUACUGGGCGUAAAGAGCGCGCAGGCGGUCGUUCAAGUCGCGUGUGAAAGCCCCCGGCUCAACUGGGGAGGGUCACGCGAUACUGAUCGACUCGAAGGCAGGAGAGGGUAGUGGAAUUCCCGGUGUAGUGGUGAAAUGCGCAGAUAUCAGGAGGAACACCGGUGGCGAAGGCGGGUCUCUGGGCCGUAACUGACGCUGAGGAGCGAAAGCGUGGGGAGCGAACAGG
rnacentral:rRNA from 1 species